rnacentral:rRNA from 1 species
AUGGGUUUCAGUUGCUUCCAGCUCCAUUCAGGGAGCUGUGAUGACGUGCCACUUGAUUUCCAUGUGCAGCAAAAUGGCCACUAUGAGCUCCAUUCUGUUGAUCGUUCAUUUGAACCUGCUGGUGGAUCGAUCGUUCCAUUUGCAACCUUCUAUCAUGAGUCAUAUCCACAAGGCACAACCAAGAAAGAUGUCGUUGACGGUGCUUCAUCAAUCAUUCAUAAUCCUGGACCUCACUUGCCUCUCUUGUCGCCAAAACCUGAGAUUUCACAUCUCAUAGGAGGUGGAAUGGGAUCAUACAAGACGUAUGAGAUGAGCGGCAGGUUUAUUCCAAGAAGGAAAGCCUCGAGUAAGGCUGUCAAGAAGACUAAUGUUGUCAAAGGGCAAUGGACACCGGAAGAAGACAGGAAGUUAGUAAAGUUAGUGGAACAGUUUGGAUUGGGGAAGUGGUCUCAGAUGGCACAGAUGCUGCCUGUGAGAGUAGGAAAACAAUGCAGAGAAAGAUGGCACAACCAUUUGAGACCUAACAUCAAGAAAGAUACUUGGAGUGAGGAGGAAGAUAUGGUUCUGAUACAAACGCACAAGGAGGUUGGCAACAAAUGGGCAGAGAUAGCUAAGCGGCUCCCUGGGAGAACAGAAAACUCCAUAAAAAAUCAUUGGAAUGCAACAAAGAGAAGGCAAUUUGCACGGAGGCAGACCGGCACUAAAGCCAAGAAUCCCAAAUCAGGGACCCUUCUACAGAACUACAUCAAAAGUCUUGGGAUUGGCUCUAGCAAGGUCAUUGCUCCUCUAGAUCCGAAAGAACCUCCAUUGUCAGCAUUUUCACCAGCACCCCCGACACAAAAUCGGGCACAUAUGAAUGAUAAUUGGCCAGAAUCCAACCCAUCCAACAUAAUGGUCACCCAAGGAAUAUUCAGCACAGAUGACAGACAGAUUCACUCAUGUGAAGAAAUUCUAGUUCCCACAUCUGAUGACUUUUCUGUGGACAUGUUUGAUGGUUUAUUUAACGCAGAGGAGGUGCAAUACCAGGCUUACAACAUAGAUGAUGAUGUUGACAUGGACUAUAUCAUCAACCAUAUUGAUUAUUCUAUUAAGAAUGACCAUGAGAUAGAUAUGGAUAUGACAUGGGAUGACGAUGCGCUCGUAAACAUUGAAUCUGGAUGA